rnacentral:rRNA from 1 species
GACGAACGCUGGCGGCGUGCCUAAUACAUGCAAGUAGAACGCACAGUUUAUACCGUAGCUUGCUACACCAUAGACUGUGAGUUGCGAACGGGUGAGUAACGCGUAGGUAACCUGCCUGGUAGCGGGGGAUAACUAUUGGAAACGAUAGCUAAUACCGCAUAAUAUUAAUUAUCGCAUGAUAAUUAAUUGAAAGGUGCAAUUGCACCACUACCAGAUGGACCUGCGUUGUAUUAGCUAGUAGGUGAGGUAACGGCUCACCUAGGCGACGAUACAUAGCCGACCUGAGAGGGUGAUCGGCCACACUGGGACUGAGACACGGCCCAGACUCCUACGGGAGGCAGCAGUAGGGAAUCUUCGGCAAUGGACGAAAGUCUGACCGAGCAACGCCGCGUGAGUGAAGAAGGUUUUCGGAUCGUAAAGCUCUGUUGUAAGAGAAGAACGGGUGUGAGAGUGGAAAGUUCACACUGUGACGGUAUCUUACCAGAAAGGGACGGCUAACUACGUG